GACGAACGCUGGCGGCGUGCUUAACACAUGCAAGUCGAACGGAAAGGCCCUGCUUUUGUGGGGUGCUCGAGUGGCGAACGGGUGAGUAACACGUGAGUAACCUGCCCUUGACUUUGGGAUAACUUCAGGAAACUGGGGCUAAUACCGGAUAGGAGCUCCUGCUGCAUGGUGGGGGUUGGAAAGUUUCGGCGGUUGGGGAUGGACUCGCGGCUUAUCAGCUUGUUGGUGGGGUAGUGGCUUACCAAGGCUUUGACGGGUAGCCGGCCUGAGAGGGUGACCGGCCACAUUGGGACUGAGAUACGGCCCAGACUCCUACGGGAGGCAACAGUGGAAAAUAUUACACAAUGGGCGGAAGCCUGAUGCAGCAACGCCGCGUGCGGGAUGACGGCCUUCGGGUUGUAAACCGCUUUCGCCUGUGACAAAGCGUGAGUGACGGUAAUGGGUAAAGAAGCACCGGCUAACUACGUG
rnacentral:rRNA from 1 species